rnacentral:rRNA from 1 species
UACAGAGGGUGCGAGCGUUGUCCGGAUUUAUUGGGCGUAAAGAGCUCGUAGGUGGCUGAGUAAGUCGGAUGUUAAAUCCCCAGGCUCAACCUGGGACACCACCCGAUACUGCUCUGGCUAGAGUCCGGUAGGGGAGCGUGGAAUUCCUGGUGUAGCGGUGAAAUGCGCAGAUAUCAGGAGGAACACCGGUGGCGAAGGCGCUGCUCUGGGCCGGUACUGACGCUGAGGAGCGAAAGCGUGGGUAGCAAACAGG